GACUUUCCUGAAGAAGUCAGAGACAGAAUCGCAAGGAAGUGUCUGAAAAUUAGUCAUGAUUGCAGAGCAAAGAAUCUAUCUUUUUGAAUUUCAAAAAUUUUCCAAGUUCAGUUUUAUCUUUGGGAUUAUGUUUUUUAUUAUAAAGCUCAUCUUUAGGCAGCAGCUUCGACACAUCCAUUCACACCUUCGAAACAGCUUGGAGACCUUCACAACACC
rnacentral:misc_RNA from 1 species